AACGUAGGACGCAAGCGUUAUCCGGAGUUACUGGGCGUAAAGCGCGGGCAGGCGGUCUUGCCAGUCUGAUGUGAAAUCCUCCCGCUCGAACGGGAGCAGCCAUUGGAAACUACAAGACUGGAGUCUGACAGAGGUAGGCGGAAUUCCGGGUGGAGUGGUGAAAUGCGUAGAGAUCCGGAGGAACACCAGAGGCGAAGGCGGCCUACUGGGUCAGUACUGA
rnacentral:rRNA from 1 species